rnacentral:rRNA from 1 species
GACGAACGCUGGCGGCGUGCUUAACACAUGCAAGUCGAACGAAGAGCGAUGGAAGCUUGCUUCUAUCAAUCUUAGUGGCGCACGGGUGAGUCACGCGUAAUCAACCUGCCCUUCAGAGGGGGACAACAGUUGGAAACGACUGCUAAUACCGCAUACGAUCUAACCUCGGCAUCGAGGAUAGAUGAAAGGUGGCCUCUACAUGUAAGCUAUCACUGACGGAGGGGAUUGCGUCUGAUUAGCUAGUUGGUGGGGUAACGGACCACCAAGGCGAUGAUCAGUAACCGGUCUGAGAGGAUGAACGGCCACAUUGGGACUGAGACACGGCCCAGACUUCUACGGGAGGCAGCAGUGGGGAAUCUUCCGCAAUGGACGAAAGUCUGACGGAGCAACGCCGCGUGAGGGAUGACGGCCUUCGGGUUGUAAAGCUCUGUUAAUCGGGACGAAAGGCCUUCUUGCGAAUAGAGAGAAGGAUUGACGGUACCGGAACAGAAAGCCACGGCUAACUACGUG